CACUAUGAUGAAAAACGGGGGAAGCAGCACCGGACUGACCAGAGAAGGAUGUUGCAAAAGAUCGUCCAGUGCCGUCUGGUA